rnacentral:rRNA from 1 species
CACGUAGGGUGCGAGCGUUGUCCGGAAUUAUUGGGCGUAAAGCGCGUGUAGGCGGCUCGGUAAGUCUGCUGUGAAAGUCCAGGGCUCAACCCUGGAAUGCCGGUGGAUACUGGCGAGCUCGAGUCCGGAAGAGGCGAGUGGAAUUCCUGGUGUAGCGGUGAAAUGCGCAGAUAUCAGGAGGAACACCAAUGGCGAAGGCAGCUCGCUGGGACGGUACUGACGCUGAGACGCGAAAGCGUGGGGAGCAAACAGG